UGAACCUUCACCCAUAGUUGGAAACCAACAUGAGCCAAGUCUUCUUUGUUGUUCAGCAAAGGAGACAGCAGCAAAAUUUCUCCUGAAGAGUCAAACCAGGCAGUGGCUGCAAUGCUCCCACCCUGCACUUGAACAAAAGGCAGCCCCUGGGCACUGCACUCUGUGGAGGAACAGGGCUGGGGGCAGUGCCCAGACUCCUCCUGAGCUCUGCAGCACCACUGGAUGCACGGACCAAUGCAAUCUUAACUUUUGCCACGGGUACCUACCAGUAAAGCAUUAAAUCAAUUAUUAGUAAGUCAAAAUAGCUCCUGUAUGGGAUCACCUCACCCUUAAACUCUUCAGCCUUUUGGACUGAGCACAAGUGUGAAUACAAUUGAACACAAACUAAAACAGAGUUGCCUAAAAGUGGGCAUCCUAAGUCUAGGCUAUCAUUCUCUCUUCAUAUCUGCGUUAACUUAUUUCCCUUUGUAAAAUGAUUAUUGUUUACAAAACCAGAAAAAGAUUUUCAGGCCUUUUGGUUACCAUAUUUUGAAAUAAGUCUAAGAUUUUCCUGUCUGUGGACUCAAAACUGUGUUCUGCUCUCAAUGUAAGUUCUCUGGACAUCAACAUGUUUCUUAACAAAAA
rnacentral:lncRNA from 1 species